rnacentral:rRNA from 6 species
CAUACAAAGAGAAGCGACCUCGCGAGAGCAAGCGGACCUCAUAAAGUGCGUCGUAGUCCGGAUUGGAGUCUGCAACUCGACUCCAUGAAGUCGGAAUCGCUAGUAAUCGUGGAUCAGAAUGCCACGGUGAAUACGUUCCCGGGCCUUGUACACACCGCCCGUCACACCAUGGGAGUGGGUUGCAAAAGAAGUAGGUAGCUUAACCUUCGGGAGGGCGCUUACCACUUUGUGAUUCAUGACUGGGGUGAAGUCGUAACAAGGUAACCGUAGGGGAACCUGC